rnacentral:rRNA from 1 species
AGUGGCGGACGGGUGAGUAACGCGUAAGAAUCUAACUUCAGGACGGGGACAACAGUUGGAAACGACUGCUAAUACCCGAUGUGCCGCAAGGUGAAACCUAAUUGGCCUGGAGAAGAGCUUGCGUCUGAUUAGCUAGUUGGCGGGGUAAAGGCCUACCAAGGCGACGAUCAGUAGCUGGUCUGAGAGGAUGAGCAGCCACACUGGGACUGAGACACGGCCCAGACUCCUACGGGAGGCAGCAGUGGGGAAUUUUCCGCAAUGGGCGAAAGCCUGACGGAGCAACGCCGCGUGAGGGAGGAAGGUCUUUGGAUUGUAAACCUCUUUUCUCAAGGAAGAAGUUCUGACGGUACUUGAGGAAUCAGCCUCGGCUAACUCCGUGCCAGCAGCCGCGGUAAUACGGGGGAGGCAAGCGUUAUCCGGAAUUAUUGGGCGUAAAGCGUCCGCAGGUGGUCAGCCAAGUCUGCCGUCAAAUCAGGUUGCUUAACGACCUAAAGGCGGUGGAAACUGGCAGACUAGAGAGCAGUAGGGGUAGCAGGAAUUCCCAGUGUAGCGGUGAAAUGCGUAGAGAUUGGGAAGAACAUCGGUGGCGAAAGCGUGCUACUGGGCUGUAUCUGACACUCAGGGACGAAAGCUAGGGGAGCGAAAGGGAAUAGAUACCCCUGUAGUCCUAGCCGUAAACGAUGGAUACUAGGCGUGGCUU